rnacentral:rRNA from 1 species
GGCCUAACACAUGCAAGUCGAGCGGAUGACGGGAGCUUGCUCCUUGAUUCAGCGGCGGACGGGUGAGUAAUGCCUAGGAAUCUGCCUGGUAGUGGGGGACAACGUUUCGAAAGGAACGCUAAUACCGCAUACGUCCUACGGGAGAAAGCAGGGGACCUUCGGGCCUUGCGCUAUCAGAUGAGCCUAGGUCGGAUUAGCUAGUUGGUGGGGUAAUGGCUCACCAAGGCGACGAUCCGUAACUGGUCUGAGAGGAUGAUCAGUCACACUGGAACUGAGACACGGUCCAGACUCCUACGGGAGGCAGCAGUGGGGAAUAUUGGACAAUGGGCGAAAGCCUGAUCCAGCCAUGCCGCGUGUGUGAAGAAGGUCUUCGGA